rnacentral:rRNA from 1 species
GAUGAACGCUGGCGGCGUGCCUAAUACAUGCAAGUCGAGCGAACGGACGAGAAGCUUGCUUCUCUGAUGUUAGCGGCGGACGGGUGAGUAACACGUGUAUACCCUACCUAUAAGACUGGGAUAACUUCGGGAAACCGGAGCUAACACCGGAUAAUAUUUUGAACCGCAUGGUUCAAAAGUGAAAGCCGGUCUUGCUGUCACUUAUAGAUGGAUCCGCGCUGCAUUAGCUAGUUGGUAAAGUAACGGCUUACCAAGGCAACGAUGCAUAGCCGACCUGCGAGGGUGAUCAGCCACACUGGAACUGAGACACGGUCCAGACUCCUACGGGGGGCAGCAGUAGGGAAUCUUCUGCAAUGGGCGAAAGCCUGGAGGAGCAACGCCGCGUGAGUGAUGAAGGUCUUCGGAUCGUAAAACUCUGUUAUUAGGGAAGAACAUAUGUGUAAGUAACUGUGCACAUCUUGACGGUACCUAAUCAGAAAGCCACGGCUAACUACGUG